UACGUAGGGUGCAAGCGUUGUCCGGAUUUAUUGGGCGUAAGGAGCUCGUAGGCGGUUUGUCGCGUCGGAUGUGAAAACCCAGGGCUCAACCCUGGGCCUGCAUUCGAUACGGGCAGACUAGAGUAUGGCAGGGGAGACUGGAAUUCCUGGUGUAGCGGUGAAAUGCGCAGAUAUCAGGAGGAACACCGGUGGCGAAGGCGGGUCUCUGGGCCAAAACUGACGCUGAGGAGCGAAAGCGUGGGGAGCGAACAGG
rnacentral:rRNA from 1 species